rnacentral:sRNA from 1 species
CAUGGAUUAAGGGGACCAGAUUCCUCCAUACAGCUUGUUGAGGGACUUGGUGGGUGCCCCUUGCUCUUGGGGUCUUCCUACUUUGGCUGCUAUGCUCAACCCAGACCCAGCCUCUUCCUGGAAUUCUCCUUUCAACACGCACAGAGACAGAACCCGGCCCGGACUUUGCAGCCAGUAAUUGUGUGCAAUCACCUGGGACAGUGCUGCAGAUGGCUCGUUCGGAACACCACCUGGAUACGGCUGCGCUGCAGACCGGGCAGAGGAGCAGCGCCGGCACCAAGAUGGGCUGCCCUACAUUGAUGACUCGCCCUCCUCAUCGCCCCACCUCAGCAGCAAGGGCAGGGGCAGCCGGGAUGCGCUGGUCUCGGGAGCCCUGGAGUCCACUAAAGCGAGUGAGCUGGACUUGGAAAAGGGCUUGGAGAUGAGAAAAUGGGUCCUGUCUGGAAUCCUGGCUAGCGAGGAAACUUACCUGAGCCACCUGGAGGCACUGCUGCUGCCCAUGAAGCCUUUGAAAGCCGCUGCCACCACCUCUCAG